rnacentral:rRNA from 1 species
GACGAACGCUGGCGGCGUGCCUAACACAUGCAAGUCAACUUGACUGAAGGAGCAAUCUGACAGUAGAGUGGCGCAAGGGUGCGUAACGCGUAAGUAACUUGCCCCAAGGUAAGGAAUAACGUCGAGAAAUCGGCGCUAAUACCUCAUAAUGCAGCGGAUCCGCAUGGAUAUGUUGUUAAAGGUUUACCGCCUUGGGAUAGGCUUGCGUCUGAUUAGCUAGUUGGUGUGGUAACGGCACACCAAGGCUACGAUCAGUAACUGGUCUGAGAGGAUGAUCAGUCACACUGGAACUGAGACACGGCCCAGACUCCUACGGGAGGCAGCAGUUGGGAAUCUUCGGCAAUGGGCGCAAGCCUGACCGAGCAACGCCGCGUGAGUGAUGGAAGGUUUUCGGAUUGUAAAGCUCUGUCUUCCGGGACGAUAAUGACGGUACCGGAGGAGGAAGCCACGGCUAACUACGUGCCAGCAGCCGCGGUAAAGUC